GACGAACGCUGGCGGCGUGCCUAAUACAUGCAAGUAGAACGCUGAAGGAGGAGCUUGCUUCUCCGGAUGAGUUGCGAACGGGUGAGUAACGCGUAGGUAACCUGCCUGGUAGCGGGGGAUAACUAUUGGAAACGAUAGCUAAUACCGCAUAAGAGUAGAUGUCGCAUGACAUUUGCUUAAAAGGUGCAACUGCACCACUACCAGAUGGACCUGCGUUGUAUUAGCUAGUUGGUGAGGUAACGGCUCACCAAGGCAACGAUACAUAGCCGACCUGAGAGGGUGAUCGGCCACACUGGGACUGAGACACGGCCCAGACUCCUACGGGAGGCAGCAGUAGGGAAUCUUCGGCAAUGGACGGAAGUCUGACCGAGCAACGCCGCGUGAGUGAAGAAGGUUUUCGGAUCGUAAAGCUCUGUUGUAAGAGAAGAACGAGUGUGAGAGUGGAAAGUACACACUGUGACGGUAUCUUACCAGAAAGGGACGGCUAACUACGUG
rnacentral:rRNA from 1 species